GAAAGCCCUAUACUCGUAGCCUGGAGACCGCUAUCUCCUUCUUGUUAUCAAGCAAGACAGCGCCCGCUAUCCAGGCUACAUCGACUUCUGGUGGGAUGCCCGCCACACUAACUUUUAGGGAACGUCUUCCGUGAUACAUGCGUAUCAUCAAUAUUUCAUCACUUUUUAAACAUUUGCUGCAUCUACCUUUACCCUAUCUGCCUCUUUGAACCUCACUUCAGUUGUUCCCUAUUUGGCUCUUCUAGCAAUAUAUUUUAUUUCUUCCCAGAUUGGCCUUAGUGCCAUCUCUACUUGUGUUGUUGCCAUUACAUCUAUCUUGCAUGCAGCUACUGAGUGUGUCUUAUAAGUUAUUGUGAACUCCUUCCUGUUAGCAAUUAAUUCUUCUGGAGGACUCAACUCCACAUUGACUCCCUCUUGUUUUAUCAUUUUCGUGUAGCUUCUUCACUCCUCCCAUCCAACUUGGUGUUCCUUAUAUCUCGUAAUCUCUGCGAAACGACUUUUUUCACUCCACUUCUCCAUCAUGUUCCAUGAAAAAUCUGAUGACUCCUUCACUUCCGAAGAGGACAGCUCUCAGUAGCUGAUUUCUUCAACCCCUGUCAUUUUUUCCACUUGAAGCACAAAAAACCUGUUCAAAGAACACCACAACAAUCCAAACUACAGCAGCAAAAAUCAUACCUUAGCUCACCAAAAUGUUCAACAAAACUUCACAACGACAAAUACUGUUACAUAAAGGGAGAUAAUUAGACUUUGCUGCAUUAAAUAUUACAGGAGAGGAGAUACGCAUGCGCAUUGAAUAUGGUUCCUACUUGAUGUCGAUAUCAGGUUAAGUGUCCGCUGCAUGAAUUUCUCUUAAUCAGCUGAUCAUUAAAAUGGAAUGUCAAGUUAAGAAAAACAAGCAUUUUUGACACCUCCUUCUUUUAGCUUUUGAUCAAUGCUCUAAGGCCGCAAAAGCGUGAAACAAGAUCUUCAUCUACGUAAAACAAUGUUGUGCGUAUGGUGAGACUGGAUAGGGAUUAUCCAUUACGAAUUGCUUGAACGGAACCAAACGGUCAACGUGGAACUCUAUGUUCAGCAGAUGGAACGACUCAACACGGCUGUUCAAGAGAAAAGACCUAAUCAGCAGCAUGGAGUUCUUCUACUGCACGACAACGCCCACCCUCAUAUCACCAAUAUGACCAAGGAAGCCAUUCAAACGGAUGGCUGGGAAGUGCUACCACACCCGCCGUACUCUCCUGAUUUGGCACCGAUGGAUUUCCACCUCUUUCGAUUUCUUUCAAAUGCUAUGCGCAGAGUUUCCUUCGAUACCGAUGCAGAAUUGAGAACUUCGUUGGAUCAUUUUUCGAGUUGAAAUCGGGUGAUUUCUACCAACGAGGUAUUGAAAAUCUUGUUGAACGUUGGUAAGAAGUUGUAAACAACAAGGGUGAAUACAUUAUUGAUUAAUUAGUUGUUAUUUUUUUAUUAAACCUUUUAAAAAAUUUAAAUUUAAAAAAACAGCGGGAACUUAGCUGCCAACUUAAUAGAAUCAGCAAUGUUGAUACAACACCAAAAAUGUUCAAAGGGGAGGGGAACCAUACAAAAGCAACCUUUCCUGGUAAUUUGAUAGAUAAUACAGCCAGGAAAAUAAUUGUUUUUAAAAGCCUCAUCAUUAAUGACAAAAAGCAUGACAAGGCGUCAAAGGAGGAAACAGAAAAGUGUCUACAGCCUAUUCGGCAAGACAUUGAAUUCAUCACAAGAAGAUUUGCAACAAUUAUUGUGUACUUCAAGAGUGAAGAAAAGGCAAAGGUACACUCAGUGAAACUGCUCAAAACCACGGAUAUAGGCAGGCACACUUCAAGAAUCACCAUAGAGGAUAUUCCACCUGAAAUUGAUGUUACUUGGUUAUGUGUGGACCUUACAAUGUGUUUAGAUGAUGAAAUAACUAUUUUAGAAGCAUCCAAAAUACACCAGCAGAGUUGGAAGGGACAAGGUGUUGAAAUUAUUAUUCAAGCGACACCAAAAACACUCGAGGAGAUUGCAGAAAACAUUAUCCUUGGGGAAGAGACAACGCUUCGUGUAAUGGUCGAGGGUAGGAGACCUCGAUGCUUUGAGUGUGGUGAAAAAGGCCACAUUCGACCCAGUUGUCCUACCCACACGGCUGAAGCAACAACCAAGAGGGUCGAGUCUUAAAUACAGGAAGAAAACCAGCCACCGGAAGUCGACACCCAACCAUCCCGGAACGAGAUAAUGGAUGACGACCGGACUGUGGUGAAAAGAAGAAAGUGUCCAAAAGAAAGAACAAUAACCCCAGCCCUCCACCUCCAGCACAAACAAAAAACUCCCUCCCGCACAGAUACACAUAACACACAUGAUGACCCCACUCCCAAUCCUGAGACCCAUAAAAUAAUAACGAAUUCCCCCUAUCCUUCCACCACCUAAUUCUGAAAAGAUAUCCACCCCUUCCAGCCCCGAAAAAGUACCCCACUACUUCACAACUAAACCCGAUAUAAACUUGGCUGCAAUCAAUGCAAAAAAGGACAGUCUAAUUGCAAAACUUAAAAACAUACCGAUGGCCAGCAAUAUAAAGGACAUUACAUAACCCUACCUGAAGGGAUAUUAAUAUAUAUGAUGGACAGGAUGAACUACAACAUGCUAAUUUCCCAAUUCCCCAAUGACUUGGGCCCUCUAAGAAGGGACUUUAAUGUGUCCAUGUAUGAGGGCCUAGUCAUUGAAAGGAACAAAAGGUUCCAUGCAAGACACAGAAGAGAAGGGAGUAUAAUCCCUUCUCCAACAUAAGGCACAAGGUCCGAAAUUUUGGGGAAAAGAGGCAGUCGAUUAGAUCGAUCCAGUACGCAACUGGUACUUAAUUUAUCGACCCCGAAGGAUGAAAGCAAAGUCGACCUCGGCGAAUUUUGAACGAAGAACGUAACCGUAAUGUCUUAAUGAGACAUGUUUGUAAUGACAUGGAAACAUAACUGUAUAAAUGUGACAAUUCAUUAGAACAAAACCAAACAUUUCAAUCCCUGACUGGUGUGGGGUUAGUUUUGUUGGUUUUAUCCACAGCAACAAUUCAUCCAUUCAUUGUUUCUGUUUUUUAGGUUUUUGUUUUACUUACUUGCCUCUUACAGCAUGAAGUAAUAUGGUUUACUGUCAAAAUUCCCUCAUCACCAAUCAAUAAGUCUUGAUUUAUCCAUACAUGAAAAGAAGCACAAUACUUUUAAAGAAAGGCUUUUUACGUCCCUCCAUCUAUAUCCACAUUCUGAAGAUAAAUUACAUCUGUGAUAUUUUCAAUAUAAAUACUUUCUUACGAAUUUUGAAUUUAUUUUGCAAACAUUCUGAUCUGAAAUUGCAACUUUUCUCGAAUUUUCUCGACAUUUUGCAGAAUAUUCAUAUCUCAAACAAUCCAACCCAUUCCAGCAUGGAAAGCAGAUGCUCAAUGAUGAUGGUGAUGAGGGCGCGGAGGAGAAACAAGACGGUGUUUCUUAGAUAUUAGAAACUCACACACACGAGCGCACACGCCCCCCCCCACAUGUGUUCUAUUGUUUUUGAAGUUUUACUUUACGAUAUUCUAAGAGUCAGACGAGUAUUUGGGGACAGAGGUUUCUGUGGUUAGGUUCCCUUUCUGCUGCCAACUGUUCCAAGUCAAGUAAUAAAUCUCCCAGCCUCUCAUGCAAAAGACAGACUUAACAAGGUUAUAUGGAGGACUGGAAACCGAAACCACCACUUCAAAGAGCCCUUCAUUCACAAAGAUCGUGCAGUAUGUCAGCACAUAUCAAGGAACCUAGACAUGGUUACAACGUGCAAUGCAACUAAACGAUGCCUGUGAAUAUUAAUGGAGACAAAGUCCCUCGCACACAGAUGCAGCUGUGUGCAUAUACGUAUAUACAUAACAGGAAAACAGAAAUGUUUUUUGGUAUUGUUUAUUUUCCAUCACAU